GAGAGAGAGAGAGAGAGAGUGACUAAUGUUGAUAGAUAUUAAAUGUGAGAGUUAUGAAUUUAUGAGGGUAGUUGACGGGCUUUUACUGGUUUCAUCCAUUAUUAAAACCAACGGGGAAUCGAAGGCCGUCGCUCGCCGCAAUAACGAACUGCGCCCACUCUCAGGUGAGAAUAUGCGGCGGCGAAGUCAAUGCGAUGCUCCAGUUGACUUCGUUCUCCUGUCAAGUCGGAUU